rnacentral:tRNA from 1 species
GGAGAGAUGGCCGAGUGGUUUAAGGCGGCGGUCUUGAAAACCGUUNNGGGUUCGAAUCCCUCUCUCUCCGCCA